rfam:Rhizobium mesoamericanum STM3625 genomic scaffold, ANZ_1636
AGCUGAUGCAUUUCGUGGCUUCUCUCCCAGUGCCACCGCAUUGGCUGUUCCCCUCUGGAGGUUUAUUGACCUUCACACCUUUAAAGGGCCCCGAUCCUUCGGAGGCCCUCUUUU